GCGCAGCCGCAGUCGUCGCUCGGAUCUCGAUCGGGCCGGUUGCGUACUGUGUUUGUAGGUAGAUUCGCGAGCUACCAACAAGCGUCGUUUAGUCCAUUCCGAGCCGUGCGAUCGAGAUGGUCUUUUUCCUAGUUUUUCUAUAUGACCACGCGUAAGCAUUGCUCUUCUGCGUGCGUUUGUUUUGCUCCUAACAUUUAUCUAUCUCGCGACCGUGUAACGACAUUUAAGUAAGUUGUAAAUUGUAAGACGAUUUAAGUUCGUUCGUUCUUCCUUUUAAGACUUUAAGAAAGUGAGACAGAGAGACAACGAGAUAAAAAGAGUACUAUAAUUCAAAUCAUCAUGGAUCGAUCGUCGAAAAUGAUUCUACGAAAGAUCAUUAUAGAUUUCGUGUGCUUGCUUAUUGUGGCUGGUGCGGUGCUGAUGUUUUUCCUGUUCGGCAAACCGUACAAGCGGGGAUUCUUCUGCAAUGACGAGUCGUUAUAUCAUCCGUUCCACACGUCGACUGUAACCAGCGUGAUGCUCUACGUCAUUGGUCUUUUACUUCCUAUAUGCACGAUGAUAAUCGGAGAGUAUCUCUACGCGAGGCAUUGUGACGCAGAUUCGACGAAGAUAUUAUUUGGCUACAACAUACCACCAUGGUUAUGGGGUGCAUAUGAAAAGAUUGGCAUAUUCGGUUUUGGAGCAGCAACAACUGUUUUAAUCACCGACAUCGCCAAAUACACGAUCGGCCGACUGAGACCCCAUUUCAUGACUCUUUGUGUGCCUAGCAUUAAUUGUAGCCUGCCUGAAAAUCAGCACAGGUAUAUCGAGAACUACGUCUGCACCGAAAACAUCUCGACCAGGCUUCUAAAGGAGAUCAGAUUAUCCUUUCCCUCAGGACACUCGUCAUUCUCGGCCUACACGAUGAUCUACCUCGCGCUGUACUUACAAUUAAGGAUGACAUGGAAGGGUAGCAAGCUGUUGAAACACUUCCUGCAACUUCUGUGUAUACUUAUGGCCUGGUUCACGGCAUUGUCACGAGUUUCUGAUUAUAAACAUCACUGGAGCGAUGUUCUGGCCGGCUCGACCCUUGGUACCAUCGUGGCACUAGUCGUGGCGAACUGCGUGGCGAACCUGUUCAAAGAUCGGAGUCAUUGCUUGAUGGAAGAGAAACGCCGUGCGGCCGAUUACGAAACAGGGGGCGGUACACAGGUGAAUAAUGGCUCUACUAAUCGCAACUGUUGACCUAACGAGCUAGCUCUUCGCUUGCUGACCACACCAAGACCGUGACUCGUCUUCUAAUUGUCUCUGGGGAGCUAGUCUGGUCUCAGGGAACAAAAGCACAUGCUACUGGCCGCCUGAAGUCGAGUUAUAGGAAAAACGUACGGUGUCCGAAUGUUGGUGUCGCGAAUUUUAUUGUUCGACAGCGAAACUGCCUUACGCGCUGCUGGGGACCCUUCAUCAUCCGCCCACAUUCUCGGCGAUUCUUCUAGACGUAGCCUGUUUCAACAUGAUCCAUCAUAAUCAUCAUAAUCAUCAUCGGCUGGUGUUCCAUGCUGAUCGAAUUCCAAUUAAAAAGAAAAGAAAAACAAAGAGAAAGGAGCGAAAAGCAGCGAUAUUUCAUGAGAUGGAACGGAUUAUUUGACGUACGAAUUUCUCUUUUUCAUACGAUGCUUCGCGACGAAGCUUCUUUUAUCAACGUUCUCUACUUUCCAUCGAGCUUCUGUGGAAACUACAUUUACGUUAAACGGAACGCUGCUAAAUAGAAAAGAGUUCUCCGUAAUGUUGUAAAAAUGAAAAACGAUACGGUGGAUUUCUUUUGGAAAAGAUAAAUAAACGAAGAGAGGAGCUACUCGAAUUACAAAACUGAUCUUUACUGAUCAACGAUCAUGGCUGUAUUUUGUUUAGAACUUUAAUUAAGAGAUAACGUCAUAGGAAUUUCUGCAAGUUUCGUCCGUGCAGCUAAGCAUUACGAAACUUCAUCCUGUCUGAGAUGAAAAGUAUUCGAUUAAAAUAGGAAAUAUAAUUAAGAAACGAUAGUAAUAGAGAUCCAGGAAGAGUGACACAAGAUUUUUUACCUGCAGUACAUUCCCAAUUUACCGAUGAAACAAAUCUAACGCUAUACUCUUUCGACACCUUUUAGAUUUAGCGUAUUACCUUCCUUCUCGAAUCGAAAAAUCGGCGACUAAUUAUGUGGUUUGUUUCUUUUUUCUUUUUUUUUUUUUAUGUAAAUUAUUGUAUCGUUCGAAACGUGCUACUGUAUUCUGGUUUACGAUUAGAAUAACGAAGCACUUUAAUUGUUACUCGUAUAAAGGGUUAAUUUUAUGUCUGCGUUUAACUAUAAGUCAAGUGUAUUAUAAUAUCUUUAACAUAUUACAUAUGUAUAUAAAUACGUUAUAUUUUAAUGUCUUAUUGACCGUUGAUCUUGUUCCUAUGAUUGUAUUUCGCAAUUGAAAUUCGCGCGCGUGACACGUGCGUGUGACGAAUAUAUUCUACUCUUUUUUUUUUUCUUUUUUCAAAAAUAUGAAACUAAUAAUAUAAAACACACCUUUGCCUUUUGUUGAGUUGUUGGCAAUUAACAUAGUUUGUACGUUGUUUAAAAAAAGAAAUAAUAUUGAUUCCUUAAGGUGAGUUAAUAAAGGGUGUGAUGAAGGAUAUUUAUAUAUUUUGAAGGAAACGAUACAUUUUUUUAAUACAUGUCUUUAAAUAUUUUAACAUUAAGAUGUUAAAAUUAUUACGAACUUGUAUUGUAAAUACAUGUACAAUGUAAUUUAAUUGCAAGAAUUAUUUUUCUUUUUUUCAUUAGAUUUUAUUUUAGGUAUGUAAUCUCGUGUGAACUUUUAUUUAUAAUUUUUUGUACUCGAAGCAAACGACGACGAAAAAUACAGAAACAGUUGAUAAGUAAUAAUCGUGAAUCGACAUAAGCAUAUAUCACUAUGAAAUAAUAUUUCAGAAUAUAUUUCAUUAAUCUUUGUAUUCUUUCAACGUGUUCUCGAAAAUGAGUUUUCUUUUUCAUAUGCGCACAUUCGUUCAAUUUCUCUUUACACGCCUUUUACAUUUAUUGUAUUUAUUGACACGUCAUUAAAUGACGUUCGAGUAUUUUGUAAUCAAGAAACGAAUUGUUUAUAUGUAGCGUAGUUAUACGACGAUAAAAAUAUAACUACGUUGAAAUGCGAAUAAAAUUCACGAGAAACAUGAUUCAUGGGAUAAGUUAGAUUAGAUAAUUUAUGAAUAUUUUUACAUUCUACCGUACUUUCAACUUCGAACUAUAAAAUGUAAUAGAAAAUAAAAAUUUACGAACAAGGGGUGGUAUAUUGUAUUCUUUAAUUGUUAAAUUUCUAUUGUUAUACAUAGAUUAUUUUAUUAUUAACGUUACUAGAUGUCUAGUAUUAACUAAGCGAUCUUCUUAUAAUUACGAUAACUUUAUCGUGAAAAUUAAGAUUAAAUUACGAUUACCGUUAAUGAAACAAGCUCAAAAUAAUUAAAUGGAAUUGGUAAAAUAUUUAUAGAUGUUAAUGUGCUCGUGGAAAAUAUUUUACGAACAUUCCAAACCACGAGAAAUCAAAUAAAAUGUUUCUAUUUAAUAAAAUACCAGCACGUUAAUUGUUGUAAUGCAAAUUGGCGGUCAAUAAGAUGUUAAUUGUUAAAUAUAAAAAUACGAUUGAUUUCGUUAGACGAUAAUUUAAAAAAAAAAAGAAAAACUCUAAAGAGAAGACGAUAAGCCUUAAUUUCACAAUGUGUCUUUCAUGUUCUUUAAAUAUUAGAGAAAAUAAAAACAAAGAAAAGAAAAUAACGCGAAGUAAGUUGAAUUGAUUCUUAAGGAGCUACAUAAACCCAGGAAAUUAUCAAUUUCUUUUUCAUAUCUUUUGUAUCUUCAAGCCUGUCGAAUAUUUAAGCGCUUUAAACCAGGAAGCGAUUACUAUCAAAAGCGAUACCAAAAGUAUUAAAAAAAUCUGGCAAUCGUUGCAUCAGCAAAUAACACAAAAAUUAACUGUUCAUAUAAAAAUGCCAUUUUCCGCCAUAUUUUUGCAACACUUGCACGAUUGUAUAACCUGAAUAUCCACUAUUUUGUACAAUGAGCAUUUUUCUUAAAAAUUACAUUUCCUUGGAUCAGAAAAAUGUUGAAAGAUAUGUAGUUUUUAAUUUCCUAAAUAUAAGUAGCUCCUUAAUUUGUUAACUGGGGAAAGACGAGUUAACUCGUCGCUCGCAUUACCAAUAUUUUGUACUUAAUAAUUCAUUUAUCUCCUCCUUCUUUAUCUCAUUAUUAUUCUGAUAUUAAAGAUAAUAAAUAUAUCAACUCAUUUACAUUUGCGUAGAAUUCGAUCGAAUUAAUUCGUCUUUCAUUAAUUAUUUAAAAAACCGCCCAGUUAACAAGUUAAACAAUUAGCAGUAUAAACUAUGUCUAACGCGAUUUAUCGGAUUUGCACGAUGGAUCAUGUACCCUGUGCUCGUUCAUACAGACGAAGGGAUCGUUAAUCGUUGCUUAAAGGGUUUCGUAUUUAUUCUAGGGCAAGUCUUCUACUAUUACUUCGAGCAAAGAUGUAAACAAGGGGUUUACGAUAUACAACGCAACAUUGAUUAAAAAGAAACAAUUGUAACACGUGUACCGUUUUAUUGUGAUAUCAUGAUCAUUAAAUUCUGCACAGAUUGAAAAUGUAUACCAGAUCGAAGUAAUAAGUUCGCUCAUCUGUCGAUGAAAUAAUAUCGAAAUUUUGAUCGCUGUGAUAACAAAGAUAUUAAUAAUUCUAAGUUUUAUUCGAUGAAAGUAACCGUUGGCAUUGGUAUAUAACGUCUAAUAAAUAAAAUAUAAAAAGUGAUAGAUACUGUUGAAAAGUUUAUUUGAAAUGAUAAAGCGUCAUUGUAUCGUAAUAAUUCUAAGUUCUAUUCGAUUAACAUCGAUAUACAUCUAAAUACAUGAAAUAUAUUGAAAGUGAAUAAAUAUUCUUCAAAAUUGUUGUUUCGAUAUAUUCUAAGGCAUCGUUGCGCAUACUUACUGAGAGGUCAUCAGAGAACGAUCAAAGGGAAAAUAUGAUUGAACGUAAUUAAAAAAUUCAGCCUUAGGUAAGAAGAAGAGAAUCUCUGCUUCAGCUUACGAGCUGAGAUUUUAUUAAAAAAAAAAAAAAAAAAUCCGAAGAGUCGAUGUAACUUUGAAGAUUACACACACGGUAGCGACGAAUUACGCUCGAUUCAAUUUAUGUGAAUAAAUAAUUUACGGCUGGAUAAUUUACAGGCACGAUAAAUCAUCAAACUGGAAUUACUUAACGAAAAAAAAAUAUCUUUAAACCCGUUCCUUCAAAUUCGAUUCGUACGGUAAUAUGUAUAAAUAACGAUGGCUUCUCUUCGUUGAGACGAAAUCGUUCAUCACUGGUUCACGAACAGUAAAAUGGACGAGGUAUAAAUACAUUAUAGUAGCUUUGACCAGUGCACGCCACUUAAGCAGAAACAGUGGCACACGUGAUCCUUCUUGAUCGGCAUUUCGUAUCCAAAGAGAGGAUACAGCACCGAUAAAAUCUACUCUUUCUACCAUUAAUAAUACCGAUAGGUAUCUGGUUAUAAAUGAUAGCCCUUAUUAUCUUGUAUACGCAAGAAUACGAGGAAUCACGUCGAAAGUAUUCAAACACGAGCGUAAUGCGAAAUUAGUCUUGUACUACUCGGAACUGUCUUGUACACGAAAUGUUAAAAUAAAACUUCCUGUACGUGCGUC